rnacentral:rRNA from 1 species
CUACGGGGUGCUCCAGUGGGGAAUAUUGGACAAUGGGGGAAACCCUGAUCCAGCAAUGCCGCGUGUGUGAAGAAGGCCUGCGGGUUGUAAAGCACUUUCGGUUGGGAGGACUGCUUCUAGCACUAAUAUUGUUGGAAGUUGACGUUACCUUCAGAAGAAGCACCGGCUAACUCCGUGCCAGCAGCCACGGUAAUACGGAGGGUGCAAGCGUUAAUCGGAAUUACUGGGCGUAAAGCGCGCGUAGGCGGCUCGUCAGUCGGGUGUGAAAGCCCCGGGCUUAACCUGGGAACUGCAUCCGAUACUGUCUAGCUUGAGUACAGGAGAGGAGAGUGGAAUUCCACAUGUAGCGGUGAAAUGCGUAGAUAUGUGGAGGAACACCAAUGGCGAAGGCAGCUCUCUGGCCUGAUACUGACGCUGAGGUGCGAAAGCGUGGGGAGCAAACAGGAUUAGAUACCCUAGUAGUC